rnacentral:rRNA from 1 species
GACGAACGCUGGCGGCGUGCUUAACACAUGCAAGUCGAACGCUGAAGCUCAGCUUUUGUUGGGUGGAUGAGUGGCGAACGGGUGAGUAACACGUGAGUAACCUGCCCCCUUCUUUGGGAUAACGCCCGGAAACGGGUGCUAAUACCGGAUAUUCACUGGUCCUCGCAUGGGGGUUGGUGGAAAGGGUUUUUCUGGUGGGUGAUGGGCUCGCGGCCUAUCAGCUUGUUGGUGGGGUGAUGGCCUACCAAGGCUUUGACGGGUAGCCGGCCUGAGAGGGUGACCGGUCACGGUGGGACGGAGAUACGGCCCAGGCUCCUACGGGAGGCAGCAGUGGGGAAUAUUGCACAAUGGGCGCAAGCCUGAUGCAGCGACGCCGCGGGAGGGAUGGAGGCCGUCGGGUUGUGAACCUCUUUCGCUCAUGGUCAAGCCGCAACAAUGGUUGUGGUGAGGGUAGUGGGUAAAGAAGCGCCGGCUAACUACGUG